rnacentral:misc_RNA from 1 species
GGAAAGACUUGAAAUUACAACUUGUAUGCUGGAGAGAGGUGUGACUGAAAAUUAGUCUAUGCCUCAGCAGUGCAAUUGGAAUCUUCAUUGCCGAGCAUGGAUCAACAAUGUACAUCUACGCAAACGCACAGAUUAUUCCACAUAAUUCAUGUUUGGUUGCGCAGGCAUCUGCUGCAGGAGAGCUCCAGCCAACCUCCAGGCCCUAACGUUUUUCUUUCUGCCUGUGC